GAGGAGGCAGGGGAGUCAUGGAAUUGUUUCUGGCCUCCUAGUUCUUACGAUCAUAACCGCCUCCAGAAGGCAGUCGCGCACCAACUUCCUCCAGGUGCAGCGUGGGACGUGCAUGGUGACGUGAGGGUCUUGGUUAGCUGUGCAACAUAUGUUAAGGCAAAGGACUACCUGAAAAGUCCUUACUGUGUUUAACAUCAGACAUACAGUCAGAGGCUGAAGACCCUAUCAGAAGGAAAAAAAAGGCCAAACUCACGCUACCUGCAGGAGCCAGCUGGAAGAGUCCAGACCACUACGGGCCCGCCGCAACACUUUU
ensembl:lncRNA